rnacentral:rRNA from 1 species
UACGUAGGGUGCAAGCGUUGUCCGGAAUUAUUGGGCGUAAAGAGCUCGUAGGCGGUCUGUCGCGUCUGCUGUGAAAACCUAGGGCUUAACUCUGGGCGUGCAGUGGGUACGGGCAGGCUAGAGUGCGGUAGGGGAGACUGGAAUUCCGUGGUGUAGCGGUGAAAUGCGCAGAUAUCAGGAGGAACACCGGUGGCGAAGGCGGGUCUCUGGGCCGUAACUGACGCUGAGGAGCGAAAGCAUGGGGAGCGAACAGG